rnacentral:rRNA from 1 species
AUCAACGCUGGCGGCGUGCCUAACACAUGCAAGUCGAACGAGAAAGCGGGGGCAACUCCGUGAGUAAAGUGGGCGACCGGGUGAGUAACACGUGACCAAUCUACCCUCGAGUGGGGGAUAACUCCGGGAAACCGGAGCUAAUACCGCAUAACAUCUUUGGGGCGCACGCUCUGAUGAUCAAAGGAGCAAUCAAUUAGCGGCUGGAGGCUGUAUGUGUCGGGCCUGAUUAGCUAGUUGGUAGGUAAUGGCCUACCAAGGCAAGAAUCGGUAGCCGGCCUGAGAGGGCGCACGGCCACACUGGAACUGAAACACGGUCCAUGACUCCUACGGGAGCGGCAGCAGUGGGGAAUUUUGCGCAAUGGGGGGAAACCCUGACGCAGCAACGCCGCGUGGAGGAUGAAGUCCCUUGGGACGUAAACUCCUUUCGACCCGGAAGAUAAUGACCGGUACGGGUGGAAGAAGCACCGGCGAACUCUUGUGCCAGCAGCCGCGGUAAUACAGAGGGUGCGAGCGUUGUUCGGAAUUAUUGGCGUCGGUAAAGGGCGCGUAGGCGGUUGCGGUAAGUCACCUGUGAAUCUCCCGGCUCAACUGGGAGCUUGCAGGCGAAACUGCCGUACUGGAGUGUGGGAGAGGUGCGUGGAAUUCCCGGUGUAGCGGUGAAAUGCGUUAGAUAUCGGGAGGAACACCUGUGGCGAAAGCGGCGCACUGGACCACAACUGACGCUGAGGCGCGGAAAAGCUAGGGGAGCAAACAGGAUUAGAUACCCUGGUAGUCCUAGCCCUAAACCAUGGAUGCCUGGUGUAGCGGGUACCCAAUCCCGCUGGCCGUAGUUAACGCGAUAUAGCGUCCCGCCUGGGAGUAGUACGUCGCAAGGCUGAAACUCAAAGGAACUUGACGGGGGCCCGCACAAGCGGUGGAAGCAUGUGGUUCAAUUCGACCGCAACGCGAAGAACCUUACCUGGGCUCGGAAGCGCAGUGGACCGGGGUGGAAACAUCCCUUUCCGCAAGGACUGCUGCGGAGGUGCUGCAUGGCUGUCGUCAGCUCGUGUCGUGAGAUGUUGGUGUUAAGUCCCGCAACGAGCGCAACCCUUAUCCUAGUUGCCAGCGAGUCAAGUCGGGCACUCUAGUGAAACCGCCCCGGAUAACGGGGAGGAAGGUGGGGAUGACGUCAAGUCCUCAUGGCCUUUAUGUCCAGGGCUACACACGUGCUACAAUGCGCGGUACAAACCGUCGCAAACCCGUGAGGGGGAGCUAAUCGGAAAAAAGCCGUGCUCAGUUCGGAUUGGAGUCUGCAAUUCGACUCCAUGAAGCUGGAAUCGCUAGUUAAUCGCAGAUCAGAACGCUGCGGUGAAUACGGUCCCGGGCCUUGUACACACCGCCCCGUCACAUCACGAAAGUGGACUGCACUAGAAGGCCGGUGAGCCAACCGCAAGGAGGCAGGCCGUCCAAGGUAUGGUCCAUGAUUGGGGUG